rnacentral:rRNA from 1 species
CCUACGGGCGACAGCAGUCGAGAAUCAUUCACAAUGGGGGAAACCCUGAUGGUGCGACGCCGCGUGGGGGAAUGAAGGUCUUCGGAUUGUAAACCCCUGUCAUGUGGGAGCAAAUUAAAAAGAUAGUACCACAAGAGGAAGAGACGGCUAACUCUGUGCCAGCAGCCGCGGUAAUACAGAGGUCUCAAGCGUUGUUCGGAAUCACUGGGCGUAAGGCGUGCGUAGGCUGUUUCGUAAGUCGUGUGUGAAAGGCGCGGGCUCAACCCGCGGACGGAACAUGAUACUGCGAGACUAGAGUAAUGGAGGGGGAACCGGAAUUCUCGGGGUAGCAGUGAAAUGCGUAGAUAUCGAGAGGAACACUCGUGGCGAAGGCGGGUUCCUGGACAUUAACUGACGCUGAGGCACGAAGGCCAGGGGAGCGAAAGGGAUUAGAUACCCGAGUAGUC